CAUUAGAUCAUCUAGCCUGUCCUCCUGUGUAACAUAGGCCAUUACAUUUCACCCAGUUACCCCUGUAUUGAGCCCAGUAACUUGUCACACCCAGAAAGGCAUCCACUCUUGAUCUGAAGUCUUCAAAAGAUAGGAUUUUGUUACAGAGGUUAGUCACCCUCACUGUUAAAAAACUGUUCCUUAUUUCCAAUUUGGCUUUGUCUGGCUUCAGCUUCCAGUUACUGGGUCUUAUUAUGCCUUUCUUUCUCUGCUAGACGAAAGAGGCCUUUAGUGCCCUAUUUUCUCCCCAUGAUGGUACUUAUACACUGUUAUCAUCCAACAUCUCAGUCUUCUUUUGGGAAUGUAUUCAGUCUCCUAACUGGAAACACAAGGAGACUGUUUUCCCCUCUUUUUUUAAACCACUGCAAAAACAACAUGAGCAACUGUAACAUGUUAAACACUUCCUGGCAGUGCGACAAAAAUCUAGCAUCUAAAAUGUCAGUGAUGAGGCCAGGAGGAUUUACAUGAUUAACACGACUUAUGAGAAGUAUUAACUCCUUCACUGCCUUCAGAGCAUCCUCUUGAAAAGCGGAAGCCUGUGACUAGAGCACAAUGGAAAGAAAGAGAGAGGACGUCAAGAACAAAGAGAAAUGGCCAUGCUCUGUAUUUUUCUGUAUUGUUAUAUAUGCUAUCACUGAAGAUAUCUGAGCCAGGGCCCCAGCUAGUGUAAAUCAGCAGUGCUCUCAUAGCUAUACCGGUUGAUACCAGCUGAGGUAUGUUUAUGUUUUACAUAAAGACCUAUGAUCCCGCUCCCCCCCCUCCCCCGACUUGCUGCUACCUCUUCCAAACCCUGGAGCAAAGUCAUUCAUAAUUGUGAGUAUAUAACAGCAGAAUCAAUUAAUAAAUACAAAAGUAAACACUUGCAUAGUAAUCUAUAUCUUCCAAACUGUAUGCAAAGAGGAGUUAAUUAAGGUUACCAACACCCCUUUGGGCUGCAUUAAUUUUAUUAUUCCAUUUUAUAGAUGAGAGAGCAGUUAACAGGUUAAGGGACUGACCCAGGGCCACACAGCAGGUCACUUACAGAAGCAGGAUUAACUUGGGAGUUCCUGUCUGCCAGUCCCAACAUUACUCCACUAGGGUCAUGCUGCCUCUCCUAUUGCUGUAGGAAUAAUUGAUGUUAUAGAUUUAACAGCAUGACUUCAGUGCAGGCUCCAAUGGGAGGGCAUUGGCUGAGAGGCAGCAAAACCUCAUUUGAACCAAAAUAAAGAGGUCCAGAAAAAAAGAUGAAAAACAUUUGAAACA